GACAGAGGGUGCAAACGUUGUUCGGAAGUCCUGUGCGUAAAGGGCGUGUAGGCUGCUUCGCACGUCGGAUGUGAAAGCCCUGGGCUCAACCCAGGAAGUGCAUUCGAACCCCCGCGGCUUGAGUAUCGGAGAGGUUGGUGGAAUUCUCGGUGUAGAGGUGAAAUUCGUAGAUAUCGAGAGGAACGCCGGUGGCGAAGGCGGCCAACUGGACGAAUACUGACGCUGAGACACGAAAGCGUGGGGAGCAAACAGG
rnacentral:rRNA from 1 species